rnacentral:rRNA from 1 species
UGGGGAAUAUUGCGCAAUGGGCGAAAGCCUGACGCAGCGACGCCGCGUGAGGGAUGACGGCCUUCGGGUUGUAAACCUCUUUCGACAGGGAUGAAGCCUUCGGGUGACACUACCUGUAGAAGAAGCACCGGCUAACUACGUGCCAGCAGCCGCGGUAAUACGUAGGGUGCGAGCGUUGUCCGGAAUUAUUGGGCGUAAAGAGCUCGUAGGUGGUCCGUCACGUCGGAUGUGAAAACCCGGGGCUCAACCCCGGGCCUGCAUUCGAUACGGGCGGACUAGAGUUCGGUAGGGGAGACUGGAAUUCCUGGUGUAGCGGUGGAAUGCGCAGAUAUCAGGAGGAACACCGGUGGCGAAGGCGGGUCUCUGGGCCGAUACUGACACUGAGGAGCGAAAGCGUGGGGAGCGAACAG